CCUUCCUACCUACCUGCUUCCUUUUCGCGAUCGGCGCGACAUCUGCAGAGUAGUGUCUUUGAUCGUCGCUAGAUGGCACUGCUGUUGUGUUCGCCAGCUGACCGAUAGUGGUGGGGUGGUGGUCAAAUUCGAAGUAGAUAUUCGAUGUGAGAACUAUUUGAGUUGUUCGAUCAGCUGUUUCGGUUUUUGGGACACGUAUGACGUGGAAGAAUGGCGGUCAGACCAGAUUUUGUUGCUCUGUUCCGAUGUGGCGAGUGAGGACACAAAUCUUGAUACCAUUCAUUCGGUCAUUCAUUGAUUUCACCUGGCAACAAUAAAUUGCUGGACUGACUGGA